AGUUGGAAAGAAGUUGCACUUGAACCAUUGACAUGUCCUCCGUGUGAAGAGAUUGAAGAUCUGUCAGAUGAGGCUUUUUUAAUCCGACAUCAAAAAUAUGAGCGGGCAGAAAGGGCUCGCUGGUCAUUUUGGGAACAGAGCAAAUGGCCAAAACGGAGCAGGUCUUCAAGUCAUAGCUCAGGGCAAUGCACGGAAGACAACUGGAGUCCAAAUUCCACAUCACCCGAUUCUUGGGACACACCGCCGCCUGGUGGUUGUGCUUUGCAAGCCCUACGGUCUUCAGCUGAUUUUCAGCAAGGGAAGGCACAACACUGGGAGCGUAGAAUAUUUCCUCUUACAGGAGAAGCUGCUGUGGCUUUAAAUGAUACACAGACAACGACAAAACACUUGUCUCGUCC